rnacentral:rRNA from 1 species
AUUCUGGUGAAAAUACGGCUUCUCGUCCCAUCAGCCUUAGUCAACCACCAGGGAGCCUAG